rnacentral:rRNA from 1 species
GAUGGACGCUGGCGGCGUGCCUAAUACAUGCAAGUCGAGCGAACAGACGAGGAGCUUGCUCCUUUGACGUUAGCGGCGGACGGGUGAGUAACACGUGGGUAACCUACCUAUAAGACUGGGAUAACUUCGGGAAACCGGAGCUAAUACCGGAUAAUAUUUCGAACCGCAUGGUUCGAUAGUGAAAGAUGGCUUUGCUAUCACUUAUAGAUGGACCUGCGCCGUAUUAGCUAGUUGGUAAGGUAACGGCUUACCAAGGCAACGAUACGUAGCCGACCUGAGAGGGUGAUCGGCCACACUGGAACUGAGACACGGUCCAGACUCCUACGGGAGGCAGCAGUAGGGAAUCUUCCGCAAUGGGCGAAAGCCUGACGGAGCAACGCCGCGUGAGUGAUGAAGGUCUUCGGAUCGUAAAACUCUGUUAUUAGGGAAGAACAAACGUGUAAGUAACUGUGCACGUCUUGACGGUACCUAAUCAGAAAGCCACGGCUAACUACGU